rnacentral:rRNA from 1 species
UACGGAGGGUGCAAGCGUUAAUCGGAAUUACUGGGCGUAAAGCGCACGUAGGUGGUUUGUUAAGUCAGCUGUGAAAUCCCCGGGCUCAACCUGGGCACUGCAGUUGAAACUGGCAAGCUAGAGUAGGGUAGAGGGGUGUGGAAUUCCAGGUGUAGCGGUGAAAUGCGUAGAUAUCUGGAGGGACAUCAGUGGCGAAGGCGGCAUCCUGGACCGACAUUGACGCUGAUGAGCGAAAGCCAGGGGAGCAAACGGG